GAGACAACAGAGACUGUGCAAGGAAGGAUAACUUCUUCUCACCUCCCUCGCUGGCUUAUGAUGAAAAUGGCUCAGUAGACUGUGACCCUUGUCUCUAGAGAACGAAGGGUUACGUGGAGGAUCAUAGGGAGCCUCUGAGGCUUGCGAAAUCUGCCAGGAAAUGCGGGACCCACGGAGGCAAGGACAGAGCUUUGUCACACUACUUAAAAAAACCUGCUCCCUAAAGAAAAAUAAAACCCACUUGGCUAGUUCUCACUAGGGAAUGGGAGCAGUAUUAAGUCUGAACAUUUUAAAAACUAAAUCAAGAAGUUAUAGGUGUGUAAACGUUCACUUUUCCACAUGCACAGUAUGAAAUUUCUGUUAGAGUUUGAACUGUAUAAUGUGUAAAGCACUACUGAGUUACACCAAUCACAACUGCAUAACUCCAUAGUCAACUGUUCUGUCUUCUGCUAUCUUACUUUUUUAAAGAGGAAAUUAAAAGUCAAAAUCUAUUCUAAUAAAACAUCAAGUUGAAAAUUUGAAAUAUAUAUAUAUAAAAGUCAGGAAUCACAUUAAAGGUUCUUACAUAAUCUUCAGUUAACAUUAAUUGUCCCCACAUUUGUUUCAAUUAGUAGUUAGACAGUUACAUUCACCAUAGCCUGAGUGUGUAUAAUCCAGGCAAGAAAACCUUAAUGUUUUCACUUAUUAAUUUUAUGGUUUAAACUCACAAUCCUAGUCUUCCUUUGCACAUGCAGGGUAUUAGUCCUGUGACUCCAUAGUUAAGUUUGCCGGUGACAUUCCAGCCCACAUCUUUAUUUCCAGCCAUUUAUUGCUUUCUCCAAGAAAUUCCCUUUCAGUCUGAAUUUUCUCAUGCUUAGUCUCAGCCCAAAGGGAAAUAUAUUUUUAAAAGAUCAGGCCAAUCAUUUUUGAUUUAUGGGGCUGUGAAAUAUUUACAAUUUAUUGCCUUUUUUAAAGUCCCAAUUUUCUUUUGACCUCUCAUAACUCAAUUAUGACAUGCAAUGAAGGGAUCAUACAUGCAUGACUAAAAAACAAAAAUCUUUCUUGAAUUCCGCAACUUUCUUAUAGUUCACACUGAUGGAGAGUGGACCCUAGGUGUCUUAUGGGCUAUAAUUCAAGCCCUGUAUCUAACUACCAUCUUCUGACAUUAACUAGAGCAUACAUGAAGUGGGGAAGAUGUGCACACUUUAUCAAACGCACACCAGCCAGUGCAGUGAUGAAACACAUAGGAAAUACACAGGAUUAUCUCUUCAGCCAGCACCAUGCCAGCGACAAUCCUCUUCCAGCCUCCACCUUUUCCAUAGGCCAAUUGCCCUAACACAGGGGUAGGCAAACUAUGGCACGCGUGCCAAAGGCGGCAUGUGAUCUGACUGUCGGGGCAUUCACACUGCCUGGGUCCUGGCCACCGGUCCGGGGGUCUCUGCAUUUUAAUUUAAUUUUAAAUGAAGUUUCUUGAACAUUUUAGAAACCUUAUUUACUUUACAUACAACAUUAGUUUAGUUAUAUAUUAUAGACUUAUAGAAAGAGACCUUCUAAAAAUGUUAAAAUGUAUCACUGGCACGCAAAACCUUAAACUAGAAUAAAUGAAGGCUUGGCACACCACUUCUGAAAGGUUGCCAACCCCUGCAACCUUUGGAACAUAUGGAAAUGUAUUUUAAUUUGUGAUUGUGUCUCACAAUGAAACAUAUGCACUCGUGUAAUUUAGGGCACUUGGCAAUAGGGAGGGAGAGUCACUCAUCAGGUUGGACCAGAUGACCUCCUGAGGUCCCUUCCAACCCUGUUAUUCUAUGAUCAGGAGAUGAUGGCACUUUUUUUU